GGGGAGCGAAGCUUGCUUUGCUCCGCCGGCGACCGGCGCACGGGUGAGUAACGCGUAUGCAACCUGCCCGUUUCAGCGGGAUAACCCGGAGAAAUCCGGCCUAAUACCGCAUGUGGCCGAGGGAAGGCAUCUUCUUUCGGCCAAAGGAGGCGACUCCGGAGACGGAUGGGCAUGCGUGACAUUAGCUUGUUGGCGGGGUAACGGCCCACCAAGGCGACGAUGUCUAGGGGUUCUGAGAGGAAGGUCCCCCACACUGGUACUGAGACACGGACCAGACUCCUACGGGAGGCAGCAGUGAGGAAUAUUGGUCAAUGGGCGAGAGCCUGAACCAGCCAAGUCGCGUGAAGGAUGACGGCCCUACGGGUUGUAAACUUCUUUUGUCAGGGAGCAAUUGAGUCCACGUGUGGGCUUAGCGAGAGUACCUGAAGAAAAAGCAUCGGCUAACUCCGUGCCAGCAGCCGCGGUAAUACGGAGGAUGCGAGCGUUAUCCGGAUUUAUUGGGUUUAAAGGGUGCGUAGGCGGAAUAUCAAGUCAGCGGUAAAAAUUCGGGGCUCAACCCCGUCGUGCCGUUGAAACUGAUGUUCUUGAGUGGGCGAGAAGUAUGCGGAAUGCGUGGUGUAGCGGUGAAAUGCAUAGAUAUCACGCAGAACUCCGAUUGCGAAGGCAGCAUACCGGCGCCCAACUGACGCUGAAGCACGAAAGCGUGGGUAUCGAACAGGAUUAGAUACCCUGGUAGUCCACGCAGUAAACGAUGAAUGCUAAUUGUCCGGAGGGAUUGACCUCUGGGUGAUACAGCGAAAGCGUUAAGCAUUCCACCUGGGGAGUACGU
rnacentral:rRNA from 1 species